GCAGGCCAGUCUGCGGAGCGUGAGACUCUUAAUCUCCUGGUUGUGGGUUCGAGCCCCACGUGGAGCA